UCGAGAAUCUUCCGCAAUGGGCGAAAGCCUGACGGAGCGACGCCGCGUGGAGGACGAAGGCCUUCGGGUUGUAAACUCCUGUCACGAGUUAAGAAGUCAGUCGGACGAACAGUCCGGCUGAUUGACGUAAGCUCGAGAGGAAGCGCUGGCUAACUCUGUGCCAGCAGCCGCGGUAAUACAGAGAGUGCGAACGUUGUUCGGAAUUACUGGGCUUAAAGCGCGCGUAGGCGGCGUAACAAGUGUCGGGUGA
rnacentral:rRNA from 1 species